CAUCCGCCCGAGAACUACGAGCACAAACGCUUAAAACUCUAAGGACUUGGCGGUGCCCUAAACCCACCUAGAGGAGCCUGUUCUAUAAUCGAUAACCCACGAUACACCCAACCACUUCUUGCCAAAACAGCCUACAUACCGCCGUCACAGCCCACCUUCAUGAAAGCACAACAGCGAGCCAAAUAGCCACCAACCCCGCUAACAAGACAGGUCAAGGUAUAGCCUACGAAGUGGAAGAAAUGGGCUACAUUUCCUAAAAUAGAAAACCCACGAAAGGGGGCCUGAAACCUGCCCCCAGAAGGCGGAUUUAGCAGUAAAGAGAGACAAUCAUGCUCUCCUUAAGCCGGUCCUAGGGCA
rnacentral:rRNA from 1 species